rnacentral:rRNA from 3 species
GGGUUGUGAGGUUAAGCGACUAAGCGUACACGGUGGAUGCCCUGGCAGUCAGAGGCGAUGAAGGGCGUGCUAAUCUGCGAUAAGCGCCGGUAAGGUGAUAUGAACCGUUAUAACCGGCGAUACCCGAAUGGGGAAACCCAGUGUGAUUCGUCACACUAUCAUUAACUGAAUCCAUAGGUUAAUGAGGCGAACCGGGGGAACUGAAACAUCUAAGUACCCCGAGGAAAAGAAAUCAACCGAGAUUCCCCCAGUAGCGGCGAGCGAACGGGGAGGAGCCCAGAGCCUGAAUCAGCAUGUGUGUUAGUGGAAGCGUCUGGAAAGGCGCGCGAUACAGGGUGACAGCCCCGUACACAAAAGCGCAUGUGCUGUGAGCUCGAUGAGUAGGGCGGGACACGUGGUAUCCUGUCUGAAUAUGGGGGGACCAUCCUCCAAGGCUAAAUACUCCUGACUGACCGAUAGUGAACCAGUACCGUGAGGGAAAGGCGAAAAGAACCCCGGCGAGGGGAGUGAAAAAGAACCUGAAACCGUGUACGUACAAGCAGUGGGAGCACCCUUCGGGGUGUGACUGCGUACCUUUUGUAUAAUGGGUCAGCGACUUAUAUUCUGUAGCAAGGUUAACCGUAUAGGGGAGCCGGAGGGAAACCGAGUCUUAACCGGGCGUUAAGUUGCAGGGUAUAGACCCGAAACCCGGUGAUCUAGCCAUGGGCAGGUUGAAGGUUGGGUAACACUAACUGGAGGACCGAACCGACUAAUGUUGAAAAAUUAGCGGAUGACCUGUGGCUGGGGGUGAAAGGCCAAUCAAACCGGGAGAUAGCUGGUUCUCCCCGAAAGCUAUUUAGGUAGCGCCUCGUGAAUUCAUCUCCGGGGGUAGAGCACUGUUUCGGCUAGGGGGCCAUCCCGGCUUACCAACCCGAUGCAAACUGCGAAUACCGGAGAAUGUUAUCACGGGAGACACACGGCGGGUGCUAACGUCCGUCGUGAAGAGGGAAACAACCCAGACCGCCAGCUAAGGUCCCAAAGUCAUGGUUAAGUGGGAAACGAUGUGGGAAGGCCCAGACAGCCAGGAUGUUGGCUUAGAAGCAGCCAUCAUUUAAAGAAAGCGUAAUAGCUCACUGGUCGAGUCGGCCUGCGCGGAAGAUGUAACGGGGCUAAACCAUGCACCGAAGCUGCGGCAGCGAACGUAUCACCCAAGACAACUUUACGGAGUUGACGAUUGACGGAGCGAAGCGACGUCAAAGCGUUCAUUAAAGUCGAGUUGGCUUAGGGAUACGUUCGUUGGGUAGGGGAGCGUUCUGUAAGCCUGUGAAGGUGUGUCGUGAGGCAUGCUGGAGGUAUCAGAAGUGCGAAUGCUGACAUAAGUAACGAUAAAGCGGGUGAAAAGCCCGCUCGCCGGAAGACCAAGGGUUCCUGUCCAACGUUAAUCGGGGCAGGGUGAGUCGACCCCUAAGGCGAGGCCGAAAGGCGUAGUCGAUGGGAAACGGGUUAAUAUUCCCGUACUUGGUGUUACUGCGAAGGGGGGACGGAGAAGGCUAUGUUGGCCGGGCGACGGUUGUCCCGGUUUAAGCGUGUAGGUGUGUGUUCCAGGUAAAUCCGGUUCACUUUAACACUGAGGCGUGACGACGAGGCACUACGGUGCUGAAGCAACAAAUGCCCUGCUUCCAGGAAAAGCCUCUAAGCAUCAGGUAACAUCAAAUCGUACCCCAAACCGACACAGGUGGUCAGGUAGAGAAUACCAAGGCGCUUGAGAGAACUCGGGUGAAGGAACUAGGCAAAAUGGUGCCGUAACUUCGGGAGAAGGCACGCUGACACGUAGGUGAAGUGAUUUACUCAUGGAGCUGAAGUCAGUCGAAGAUACCAGCUGGCUGCAACUGUUUAUUAAAAACACAGCACUGUGCAAACACGAAAGUGGACGUAUACGGUGUGACGCCUGCCCGGUGCCGGAAGGUUAAUUGAUGGGGUCAGCGCAAGCGAAGCUCCUGAUCGAAGCCCCGGUAAACGGCGGCCGUAACUAUAACGGUCCUAAGGUAGCGAAAUUCCUUGUCGGGUAAGUUCCGACCUGCACGAAUGGCGUAAUGAUGGCCAGGCUGUCUCCACCCGAGACUCAGUGAAAUUGAACUCGCUGUGAAGAUGCAGUGUACCCGCGGCAAGACGGAAAGACCCCGUGAACCUUUACUAUAGCUUGACACUGAACAUUGAGCCUUGAUGUGUAGGAUAGGUGGGAGGCUUUGAAGUGUGGACGCCAGUCUGCAUGGAGCCGACCUUGAAAUACCACCCUUUAAUGUUUGAUGUUCUAACGUGGACCCGUAAUCCGGGUUGCGGACAGUGUCUGGUGGGUAGUUUGACUGGGGCGGUCUCCUCCUAAAGAGUAACGGAGGAGCACGAAGGUUGGCUAAUCCUGGUCGGACAUCAGGAGGUUAGUGCAAUGGCAUAAGCCAGCUUGACUGCGAGCGUGACGGCGCGAGCAGGUGCGAAAGCAGGUCAUAGUGAUCCGGUGGUUCUGAAUGGAAGGGCCAUCGCUCAACGGAUAAAAGGUACUCCGGGGAUAACAGGCUGAUACCGCCCAAGAGUUCAUAUCGACGGCGGUGUUUGGCACCUCGAUGUCGGCUCAUCACAUCCUGGGGCUGAAGUAGGUCCCAAGGGUAUGGCUGUUCGCCAUUUAAAGUGGUACGCGAGCUGGGUUUAGAACGUCGUGAGACAGUUCGGUCCCUAUCUGCCGUGGGCGCUGGAGAACUGAGGGGGGCUGCUCCUAGUACGAGAGGACCGGAGUGGACGCAUCACUGGUGUUCGGGUUGUCAUGCCAAUGGCACUGCCCGGUAGCUAAAUGCGGAAGAGAUAAGUGCUGAAAGCAUCUAAGCACGAAACUUGCCCCGA